AUCACCACCUACUCAGCCUUCGGGACUGCUUUAGUCAUCAUCGGAGUAUUUCUGUACAACCGGGCGCGUCAGUACCAACAACAGAAAAUCCAAGCUUUGAUAUCUUAUAACAAUAAAGGGCGGGAAGAUCAGCCUCUGUUGAAUGAGGACCUGCAACAACCUGAGAAGUAAACGUGUUCUAAGAUUUCACAAGUGAAACGUGUGGCUCUUCAGACACCUGGUGAUCGGAGGAGCGU